rnacentral:rRNA from 1 species
UACGGAGGGUGCAAGCGUUGUCCGGAUUUAUUGGGUUUAAAGGGUGCGUAGGCGGUCUUGUAAGUCUGGGGUGAAAGCCCGUUGCUCAACAACGGAACUGCCUGGAAACUGCGGGACUUGAGUACAGACGAGGGUGGCGGAAUGGAUGCUGUAGCGGUGAAAUGCAUAGAUAGCAUCCAGAACCCCCGAUUGCGAAGCAGCUGCCUAGACUGU